rnacentral:rRNA from 1 species
UACGAGAGGCCCAAACGUUAUUCGGAAUUACUGGGCUUAAAGAGUUCGUAGGCGGCAUUGCAAGUAGGGUGUGAAAGCCCUCGGCUCAACCGAGGAAUUGCGCUCUAAACUGCAGUGCUUGAGGAACCUAGAGGUGAGCAGAACAGAUGGUGGAGCGGUGAAAUGCGUUGAUAUCAUCUGGAAUACCGGAGGCGAAGGCGGCUCACUGGGAGUUUUUCUGACGCUGAGGAACGAAAGCCAGGGUAGCGAACGGG